GCUUUGAUCAAUGACUCUUCUUCUUGAUCACUAAACGACGCGUGUUAUUGAAGAGUUGCAGCCGAAGAAGUUGGACGUGUCGGGUCUUUAUAAAAGUGAAGUUGGCAUACAAAUAUAAAAUUAAACUUGAUCGCGCUAUCAAAAAAUCAUGUGAAGUUUCUUUAAAUAAAUAAGUGUAAUACAACAAAUUAGCGCGCGCCGUUACACGCAUACAUAUACAUACAUAUGCACGUAGAAUGUAUUAAUUAUUAAGUGGAUUAAAAUUUUCGGUUCUCAGAAACGUAUGAACGUACAAUCAAGUGCAGCUACACACACAUACAUAUACCACACCGUGCGUUUACCGUUGCUUUGUCGCCAACAAAGUUGAGCGUGCCCUAGCGAACACACACAUGUACAUUUUCUGCAACACAUCUACCCACACACAGCGUGCGUUUACCGUUCCUGGCAAAGUCAUAGUGGCAAACAAAUACAUUCUCGAACCAACAUACAUAUAUGCCAAAUAUACAAAUUCCAAAACGAAGCAUAUAAAACUGGAUAAAAUAUUGGAGGUUCCUGUUGAGAAUAAAACCCAUACUCGGCGUAAGGAUGUGAAAACUUUCGAUGGAGCUGAGCUUUUGAAAGCAUGGCCAAAAUAUGCUGACUCGCGGCGCCGGAAUUGAUAACUUACAAAACUAAUUAGUGUUUAGCUAUUAAGAUUGGUAAUACUCUAAGAUUGUUUAAAGUACUUUCUUUCGUUUAUGAAUUGACAACUGUGUAUGUAGCGUGUAAUGCUUUAGAAGUUAAAACAUGCAACCAUUUGCAGGCAUAUGAAUGUGGAAUAACUAAAAAUGUAUUAGUUCUUAAAAAACAUUGAAGAGUUUUCAAGCCAUCCAAUGCACAUGUAUGUAUGAUGUAAAUGAUAAAAAAUAUGUUUUAUACAGAUCUCUGUAAAAUAAAUAUAAGUGUAACUGUAUUAUUUGUACCUUCCAGCAAGCCGUAAUG